rnacentral:rRNA from 1 species
AUUGAACGCUGGCGGCAUGCCUUACACAUGCCAGUCGAACGGUAACAGGUCUUCGGAUGCUGACGAGUGGCGAACGGGUGAGUAAUACAUCGGAACGUGCCCGAUCGUGGGGGAUAACGAAGCGAAAGCUUUGCUAAUACCCCAUACGAUCUACGGAUGAAAGCGGGGGAUCUUCGGACCUCGCGCGGACGGAGCGGCCGAUGGCAGAUUAGGUAGUUGGUGGGAUAAAAGCUUACCAAGCCGACGAUCUGUAGCUGGUCUGAGAGGAUGAUCAGCCACACUGGGACUGAGACACGGCCCAGACUCCUACGGGAGGCAGCAGUGGGGAAUUUUGGACAAUGGGCGCAAGCCUGAUCCAGCCAUGCCGCGUGCAGGAUGAAGGCCUUCGGGUUGUAAACUGCUUUUGUACGGAACGAAAAGGUGCCUUCUAAUAAAGGGCGCUCAUGACGGUACCGUAAGAAUAAGCACCGGCUAACUACGUG